AUUGAACGCUGGCGGCAGGCUUAACACAUGCAAGUCGAACGGUAACAUAAAGAAGCUUGCUUCUUUGAUGACGAGUGGCGGACGGGUGAGUAAUGCUUGGGAAUCUAGCUUAUGGAGGGGGAUAACUACGGGAAACUGUAGCUAAUACCGCGUAGUAUCGAGAGAUGAAAGUGUGGGACCUUCGGGCCACAUGCCAUAGGAUGAGCCCAAGUGGGAUUAGGUAGUUGGUGAGGUAAAGGCUCACCAAGCCGACGAUCUCUAGCUGGUCUGAGAGGAUGACCAGCCACACUGGGACUGAGACACGGCCCAGACUCCUACGGGAGGCAGCAGUGGGGAAUAUUGCGCAAUGGGGGCAACCCUGACGCAGCCAUGCCGCGUGAAUGAAGAAGGCCUUCGGGUUGUAAAGUUCUUUCGGUAGCGAGGAAGGCAUUUAGUUUAAUAGACUAGGUGAUUGACGUUAACUACAGAAGAAGCACCGGCUAACUCCGUGCCAGCAGCCGCGGUAAUACGGAGGGUGCGAGCGUUAAUCGGAAUAACUGGGCGUAAAGGGCACGCAGGCGGUGACUUAAGUGAGGUGUGAAAGCCCCGGGCUUAACCUGGGAAUUGCAUUUCAUACUGGGUCGCUAGAGUACUUUAGGGAGGGGUAGAAUUCCACGUGUAGCGGUGAAAUGCGUAGAGAUGUGGAGGAAUACCGAAGGCGAAGGCAGCCCCUUGGGAAUGUACUGACGCUCAUGUGCGAAAGCGUGGGGAGCAAACAGG
rnacentral:rRNA from 1 species